CGCACCACCCGCUCUGUCACUCUGGCGGUGCAGUUUUACGCCGGAUAAUAUGUUUCCGUUGACCCGUCCGGCUCCGCCUGCUCAGGAAAGCUGCUCUGCUCAUACAUCUAAGAAUUGGAACCCCCCAAAAAAGGACCGACUCAACCGUAGCAUCCUCGGAGCAAAGAGCGUGUGUCCGUUAUAGUAUGCGUUUGUUUUUGGGGGUGUUUGUUUCUUCCCAGCAGUGGGAGAUGGAGCAGCAGCUGGGCUCAGCAGACACCGUGUGAUCACGCAGACCCAACACUUCGUACUCCGGCACCUUAAACUGUUGACAAAUAACAACUCGUCGGCUCUGUAGAUCGUCUCAUGUUGCUGUGAAGAAGAAAAAAGAGGAAAUUAAACCUCCGAAAAAGUGUUAAUUGUCAGAUCUCUUACCACGUCGAUACAACCUGCCUGUGCAAAGGGCAACUUUAUUCUCUUCUGAAAGUGUGUCAGCGGAUUCCAACGCUCUGCUGCCGCGCCCCGAACCUCACCAAGACGCAAGCGUCAAACACUCGGACGACCGCAAGAGACGGAAGGAGAGCGUCGCCUCCAUCUGUAAAGACCCGUCUGCUUUUGGCUGCCGGCUCAGUUUCCCCACCACCGUCAUCGCCUGUCAACCAUCUCCCCUCCUUCCCUCCAUCAUCAUCAUAAUCAUCAUCAUCAUCCUUGGCUGAAACACUUCACACACAGGUGAAAGCUGCACUUCCCUCACCAGCCACUGCGAUCCAGCAUCAUCUGAAACCAGGAGACUGGGUGCUCAUCAAGGAUCACAGGAGAAAGCAUUGGAAGCAGAGACGCUACACGGGUCCCUUCCAAGUACUCCUGACCACAGAGACGGCGGUGAAAAGUGGAAGGAAAAGCAACGUGGGUCCACGCUAGCCACUGCAAACGCAUCACGGCCCCCCUUUCCCAGAAGGAGAAGGAGCAGCUGCUACGGGUCCGGACUAAAGGGGAAGGGUGAGAAAAGCGAGCGCCUUCCUCCAUCAAGUAGUGUGCCAAGCUACCGACAAGCGCACCAUUAACAGUGACGUAACUAAGCACCUCACUCAUUUUAUGUGGCUGGGAAGAGAGAGGAGGGGAGAAGCCCGUAGUUUCUCAAACCGCAAAGCUGUCAUAUAUAAAUCAGUGUGGUAGGAGGCGAAAUCAUGUGCGAAGGUGUAGCCACCCAAGAAGCAGCAGCGAUGGAAGAAAGAUCUCCAGCAUCACGGCCCCCCUUUAAGAAGCAUGGGUGCAGCCAGAGCAAAAGCAUCCACUCACUACUCUUUCUAACCAAAAUAGCAAUGAUCUUGUUCCUUAUCUAUAAAUUGCAAUCACAUAACAGAGACGGCAAAGAUACUAGCCCUUUCCAUCUCUCCAGGAAGUGGCAGGAAGGGAAAAAAAGUUUUCCACUGCCCAGCUGAACAAUGUGAUGCGAACAAUUGUUCACUCUCCUCAAUAGAGAAUGAUACUUGGGUUAAUGUUGAGGACAAUGUUUAAGCAAGCAAGGUAUUUACACAGUAGAUUUAGCAAACUAUAAUCAAUUUUGUAUGUACUUCUUUGAGGUUGAUGAUGUGAUGGUUUGAAAUCUUUGUGAAUCUACACCACGGAUGUAUGCUCUAAGAAUGUUUUAACAUUUUGUUACUAUUUUUUCAGUUGAAUUGUCAAAAAUGACAAAAAGAGGGGAUUGUUGGAGUAGAAAAUGUAUCAACAGCUGUCUCUCCCAUCUGUCUAUGGGAGAUAAUCUAAUCCUGUGUGGGGUCAUGUGAAAAGGUCACUUCCAGUGUUGAGGGGAGGCAGAAUAAACAAACCGUCAGGGGCCUCCUAUUACUUAUCGAGUGGUAACAGAUGGACGCUGGAAUGUGUACGUCUCGGCGAUGUGUAUAAGAAGAGACGAGUCGACGAAGAAGGCAGCAUUAAGUCAGAGACUCCUCAUAAGGAGGGUUCAGACUUUGCUCCACUCAGCUGGGUGUUUCCAUGACUUGUUUGAUGUGAUUACUUUAUUGUUCCAUGACUUAUUUGUCUAGUUGAAUCACUUGUCCACUUGUUUGUACCUGGCUCACAUUCUGAUCAUUUGUGAACUUGUUACUAUAUAAUAAAGUGUGAUAAGACCACCGUG